UGAGGAAUAUUGCACAAUGGGCGCAAGCCUGAUGCAGCGACGCCGCGUGGGUGAUGAAGGCUUUCGGGUCGUAAAGCCCUUUUCUAGGUGACGAGAAUGGACGGUAGCCUAGGAAUAAGUGUCGGCUAACUACGUGCCAGCAGCCGCGGUAAAACGUAGGACACAAGCGUUAUCCGGAGUUACUGGGCGUAAAGGGCGUGUAGGCGGAUCGGUAAGUCUACUCUGAAAGCUCCUGGCUAAACUGGGAGAGGCGAGUGGAGACUGUCGGUCUAGAGUGAGGAAGAGGAAAGUGGAAUUCCGCGUGUAGUGGUGAAAUGCGUAGAGAUGCGGAGGAACACCAGUGGCGAAAGCGGCUUUCUGGUCCUUAACUGACGCUGAGGCGCGAAAGCAUGGGGAGCGAACGG
rnacentral:rRNA from 1 species